rnacentral:sRNA from 1 species
AUGGCUGUCGUCAGCUCGUGUCGUGAGAUGUUGGGUUAAGUCCCGCAACGAGCGCAACCCCUGUCCCAUGUUGCCAGCGAGUUAUGUCGGGGACUCAUGGGAGACUGCCGGUGACAAAUCGGAGGAAGGUGGGGAUGACGUCAAGUCAGCAUGACCCUUAUGUCUAGGGCUACACACGUGCUACAUUGGCCGAUACAAAGGGCUGCAAACCCGCGAGGGGGAGCGAAUCCCAAAAAGUCGGUCCCGGUUCGGAUUGGAGGCUGAAACUCGCCUCCAUGAAGUCGGAGUUGCUAGUAAUCGCGAAUCAGCAACGUCGCGGUGAAUACGUUCCCGGGCCUUGUACACACCGCCCGUCACACCACGAAAGUCGGCAAUACCCGAAGCCGGUGGCCUAACCCGUAAGGGAGGGAGCCGUCGAAGGUAGGGUUGAUGAUUGGGGUGAAGUCGUAACAAGGUAGCCGUAGCGGAAGCUGCGGCUGGAUCACCUCCUUUCUAGGGAUCCUGGAGCAAUUACUCCAGUGGCGUUUGGAUUCUUCGAUGGCAAUAGUUUUUCUAAAGACAGUUGUCUUUCUAAAAGCUGCCGUCAGAUAUUCCAGACUCGCCUAGAUCAACGUCGAGCUCGACGAAAAGACAAUCGCUGCUGAGUUUUGAGAGACCGCCGCAAGGACGGUUCUCUUGCUGAGCGGGCUCGUUCCGCGCGCACCUUGAAAACUCCAUAGCAGUAACUAGCGAGUUCUUCACGAUCAAGAGAAUAAGGGCACACGGUGGAUGCCUAGGCGCCAAGAGCCGAAGAAGGACGUGGGCGGCUGCGAUAAGCUCGGGGGAGGUGCUGACCAACCUUUGAUCCCGAGAUUUCCGAAUGGGGAAACCCGG